CAGGAUUCCCCUAGUAACUGCGAGUGAAGCGGGAAAAGCUCAAAUUUAAAAUCUGGUGGUCUCUGGCCAUCCGAGUUGUAAUCUAGAGAAGUGUUAUCCGCGCUGGACCGUGUACAAGUCUCCUGGAAUGGAGCGUCAUAGAGGGUGAGAAUCCCGUCUUUGAUACGGACUGCCAGGGCUUUGUGAUGCGCUCUCAAAGAGUCGAGUUGUUUGGGAAUGCAGCUCAAAAUGGGUGGUAAAUUCCAUCUAAAGCUAAAUAUUGGCGAGAGACCGAUAGCGAACAAGUACCGUGAGGGAAAGAUGAAAAGAACUUUGGAAAGAGAGUUAAACAGUACGUGAAAUUGCUGAAAGGGAAACGCUUGAAGUCAGUCGCGUUGUCUGGGGAUCAACCUUACUUUUGUUGGGCGUACUUUCCAGAUGACGGGUCAGCAUCAAUUUUGACCGUUGGAUAAAGUCUAGAGGAAUGUGGCAUCUUCGGAUGUGUUAUAGCCUUUGGUCGCAUACAACGGUUGGGAUUGAGGAACUCAGCACGCCGAAAGGCCGGGUACUUGUACCACGUUCGUGCUUAGGAUGCUGGCAUAAUGGCUUUAAUCGACCCGUCUUGAAACACGGACCAAGGAGUCUAACAUGCCUGCGAGUAUUUGGGUGGAAAACCCGAGUGCGUAAUGAAAGUGAAAGUUGAGAUCCUUGUCAUGGGGAGCAUCGACGCCCGGACCAGACCUUUUGUGACGGAUCUGCGGUAGAGCAUGUAUGUUGGGACCCGAAAGAUGGUGAACUAUGCCUGAAUAGGGUGAAGCCAGAGGAAACUCUGGUGGAGGCUCGUAGCGAUUCUGACGUGCAAAUCGAUCGUCAAAUUUGGGUAUAGGGGCGAAAGACUAAU
rnacentral:rRNA from 1 species